AUGAAAAGACGUUACUGUGAGAAUGAUGAAUUCAGACAGAAAAAACAAGAAUAUAUUAAGACAUAUUUUUCUGAAAAUGCUAAAGUUAGACAGAAACAACAACAAUAUGUUAAAAGACGUUAUAAUGAAAAUGCUGAAUUUAGACAAAAACAAAAAAACUACAUCACUAAAAGGUAUCGAGAAAGCCCAGAAUUCAGAGAGAGACAGAGAUCUCGAGUUACUCAGCGUUAUGCACGUGACAACACAUUCAGACGAAGACACAAACAACUGAUGAAACAACUAAUGCGAGACAGGUAUCAAAGUAAUCUUGCAUUCAGGAUUAUGCACAACAUGAGAUGUGCCAUGAAAAUAAAAAGGAAAUACAGACAAACCCAAGAGAGUGACAACAGUGUGAUCAAUGAGGCCAUAUCUGUGUUCAAAUCACAAAUCAAAGUUGGACCAUCAUACCCAUGUACAGUAUGCUUCAAGGCUUCAUUUCCGAACCAAGUGCGACCCUGCACAACGUCAAAUUAUGUCAAAAACCCACAUGUGGUUGCAACAUGUUUGACAGGGAAGUUUGUUCAUGUUUGUGAUGAAAACUGCAGAAAUGAGCAGUGCAAUGUGCCUGAUGAGAGAAAGAGAGAGUGGAUUUGUCACACCUGCCACAAUCAUCUUAAAAAUGGAUCCAUGCCAGCACUUGCUGCUGCCAAUAAACUGGAGCUUGCUGAUAUUCCACCUGAACUGUCUGAUCUCAACAUACUGGAGAGACAUCUCAUAGCCAAGUGCAUACCAUUUGCCAAGAUUAUUCCUCUUCCCAAAGGCAGACAGAGAGCAAUUAGAGGAAAUGUGGUCUGUGUCCCAUCAGAGGUACAGGAAACUGUUGAAGCAUUGCCUCGAUUGAGAAUUAAUUCUCAGGUGAUGAGAGUAAAACUGAAGAGACGCUUGUCUUACAAAGGUCAUCAGCUGUUUCAGACUGUAAGCUGGUCUAAACUUGUGCAAGCACUGCAUAAACUCAAGCAGAUUCAUCCACAGUAUAAGGAUGUGAGCAUCAGAGAUGAUGCUGAGCUGUGUGAUCCAACUCUUCCUGAUGAAGAUGAGGAGGAGGAUGAUGAUGAUGAAAACAUGAAUGAGGGCGAUUAUGAUGAGGCUGAUUUAAUGGAAAUUGACAACUGUGAGAAAAAUGCACUGAGUGAAGCACAAAAUAAAAAUGAACAGAAUAUUGACAUGUUACCCUGUGAUGGUGAACAACCACAUGAGCAGAUGAGAGAUGAUUCAGAGCAAGCAGAUGGACUGACUAAUGGUGGUUUUGCACUCGAGUCCUGUUUGCAGCCCCCUGAUGUGGCUGAGGAGAUAUUAUGUUUCAGUGAAGGAAUCUACUCUGUUGCUCCUGCAGAGAGAAACAAUCCAAUAAGUUUUUUCAAAACACCUAAACUGGAGGCCAUGGCCUUCCCUGUGCAGUUUCCUACAGGCCAAAACACACUGGAUGAAAGAAGGCUGAUCAAAGUAUCCCCCAGUGGGUAUUUCAAAUCAAGACUUUUCUGCAUUGAUGAUCGUUUUGCCAAAGACACAAACUAUUUGUUCUUUGCACAGUUUGUGACUGAAAUACACUUGGCUACUUCCAGCAUGACAAUCCAGUUAAGAAAGGCAAAGCCUCUGACCAGAGAUGGGAGAAAAAUAAUCUCAGGCAUGUUACAAGAUAAACAUGAGGUGGAGAAACUGGUGCGAAAUAAAGAUGCAGUGAGAUUCAUGCAGCCUCUGAGAGGAACCCCAGCCUAUUGGGAGAAAACAACAAGAGAUCUUUUUGCCAUGAUCAGACAGUUGGGAACUCCCACGUUCUUUUGCACAUUCUCAGCUGCUGAAAUGCGCUGGCCUGAAGUGAUUGAGGCAAUAACAAGGCAGCAAGGUGAACAAGUGAAUUUUGAAGGGCUCGACUGGUCAGCAAAGUGUGACAUCCUGAGAAGCAAUCCUGUCACAACAAUGCGCAUGUUUGACAAGAGAGUUGAAGCAUUAUUCAGAGAUUUACUCUUAUCUCCCGCAGAGCCACAGUAA
ensembl:lncRNA